rnacentral:rRNA from 1 species
AUUGAACGCUGGCGGCAUGCUUUACACAUGCAAGUCGAACGGCAGCGGGGAGGAGCUUGCUUCUCUGCCGGCGAGUGGCGAACGGGUGAGUAAUACAUCGGAACGUGUCGAGAAGAGGGGGAUAACCACCCGAAAGGGUGGCUAAUACCGCAUAAAUUCUGAGGAAGAAAGCUGGGGACCUAGGAAUAGGCCUAGCGCUUUUUGAGCGGCCGAUGUCGGAUUAGCUAGUUGGUGAGGUAAAGGCUCACCAAGGCGAAGAUCUGUAGCGGGUCUGAGAGGAUGACCCGCCACACUGGGACUGAGACACGGCCCAGACUCCUACGGGAGGCAGCAGUGGGGAAUUUUGGACAAUGGGGGCAACCCUGAUCCAGCCAUGCCGCGUGUAUGAAGAAGGCCUUAGGGUUGUAAAGUACUUUUGUUAGGGAAGAAAAGUCAGCUGUGAAUAAUGGCUGAUACUGACGGUACCUAAAGAAUAAGCACCGGCUAACUACGUG